rnacentral:rRNA from 1 species
ACAAGAAGACAAGAGCAUUUGGUGAAUGCCUUGGCACUAAGAGGCGAAGAAGGACGCAGCACUUUGCGAAAAGCCGCGGGGAGGCGAGAGCACCCUUUGAUCCGCGGGUAUCCGAAUGGGGCAACCCACCGUUUUAUGACGGUAUCCUUUAAUGAAUACAUAGUUAAAGGAAGCGAACGUAGGGAACUGAAACAUCUAAGUACCUACAGGAAAGGAAAUCAACCGAGACUCCGUUAGUAGUGGCGAGCGAACGCGGACCAGCCGAUUGUGGAUGACGUAUUGAGCAGAAGGAGAUGGAAAGCUCCCCCUUAGACGGUGAUAGGCCGGUAAGCGAAGAAAUGAGUUAUCCGCACUGAGUAGAGCGGGACACGAGAAAUCCUGUUUGAAGAUGGGGGGACCAUCCUCCAAGGCUAAGUACUCCUUAGUGACCGAUAGUGAACCAGUACAGUGAUGGAAAGGUGAAAAGCACCCCGAGAGGGGAGUGAAACAGUACCUGAAACCGAAUGCUUACAAGCAGUCGGAGGGGCGAUAGGCCCUGACGGCGUACCUUUUGUAUAAUGGGUCAGCGACUUAGUGUUGCAAGCGAGCUUAAGCCGGUAGGUGUAGGCGCAGGGAAACCGAGUCUGAAUAGGGCGAACAGUUUGCAGCAUUAGACCCGAAACCGGGUGAUCUUGCCAUGAACAGAUUGAAGGUGAAGUAACAUUCACUGGAGGAUCGAACCCACUCCCGUUGAAAAGGUAGGGGAUGAUUUGUGGCAAGGGGUGAAAGGCCAAUCAAACUCGGAAAUAGCUGGUUCUCCGCGAAAACUAUUUAGGUAGUGCGUCAGAUGAGAUGCCUUCAGGGGUAGAGCACUGGAUGGGCUAGGGGGAAGCGAUUCUUGCCAACCCCAACCAAACUCCGAAUACUGAAGAGCAGUCACUGGCAGACAGACGGUAGGUGCUAAGGUCUAUCGUCGAGAGGGAAAUAGCCCAGACCGCCAAUUAAGGUCCCCAAGUUAUGGCUAAGUGGGAAAGGAUGUGGGACGACCAAAACAGCCAGGAGGUUGGCUUAGAAGCAGCCAUCCUUUAAAGAAAGCGUAACAGCUCACUGGUCUAAGUAAGUUAUCCUGCGCCGAAGAUGUAACGGGGCUGAAGCCAUACACCGAAAUUGCGGAAUUUAGAGUAAUCUAAAUUGGUAGCGGAGCGUUCCGUAGGCCUGUGAAGGAACAUGGUGAUGUGUUCUGGAGGUAUCGGAAGUGCGAAUGCUGACAUAAGUAGCGACAAAGAGUGUGAGAAACACUCUCGCCGAAAGUCCAAGGGUUCCUGCGUAAAGUUAAUCUGCGCAGGGUUAGCCGGCCCCUAACGCGAGGGCGACAGCCGUAGCGGAUGGGAACGGGGUUAAUAUUCCCCGGCUUGCUGAAACUGACGACUUGACGGAGUUAUGAUUGCUUAUUGGAUUGCAGUUGUAACGGGUCAGGUCCGGGAAAUAGGUUCAGCGUAUAAACCGUACCCUAAACCGACACAGGUGGACUGGUAGAGCAUACCAAGGCGCUUGAGAGAACUAUCUUGAAGGAACUAGGCAAAUUGCAUGUGUAACUUCGGGAAAAACAUGCCCUUGUUGCGGGCAACCGCGGCAAGGGGGCACAAACCAGGGGGUAGCGACUGUUUAACAAAAACACAGGGCACUGCGAAGUUGCAAGACGACGUAUAGUGUCUGACGCCUGCCCGGUGCCGGAAGGUUAAGAGGAGAUGUUCACGCAUUGAAUUGAAGCCCCGGUAAACGGCGGCCGUAACUAUAACGGUCCUAAGGUAGCGAAAUUCCUUGUCGGGUAAGUUCCGACCUGCACGAA